CAGCAGCCGCGGUAAUACGAAGGGUGCAAGCGUUAAUCGGAAUUACUGGGCGUAAAGCGUGCGUAGGCGGUUUGUUAAGUCUGUUGUGAAAUCCCCGGGCUCAACCUGGGAAUGGCAAUGGAUACUGGCAAGCUAGAGUGUGUCAGAGGAUGGUGGAAUUCCCGGUGUAGCGGUGAAAUGCGUAGAGAUCGGGAGGAACAUCAGUGGCGAAGGCGGCCAUCUGGGACAACACUGACGCUGAGGCACGAAAGCGUGGGGAGCAAACAGGAUUAGAUACCCCUGUAGUCCCUGUCUCUUACAC
rnacentral:rRNA from 1 species